rnacentral:lncRNA from 1 species
UAUGAGAAAAGUCUAGUUGAAGAGUUGGAUCCACUUUAGUUGUUGGGAUUGAUCAUUGAUGCUUAUAUCUUUUUAUUUGACUCAAUAAAUUAGUUAUGGAGGUGGAAGACGCUUCUCACCUCCAUAUCCCUCCUUAAGCAUAGGUUAAUUAGGGAACGUCCUCCAAUUAACCACUAAUCAACAAGUUGCCAAGGAACGUCCUUGGGCCUUGGGCAUCUAACAAUUGUUAAUUGCAUUAAGAAAUAGAGAGACCUAAUUCUAGCUACC